rnacentral:rRNA from 1 species
UACGUAGGACCAAGCGUUGUCCGGAAUCAUUGGGCGUAAAGAGCGUGUAGGCGGCUUGUUAAGUCUUGCGUGAAAUCUCGGGGCUCAACCCCGAGCGGUCGUGAGAAACUGGCAGGCUAGAGUGCGGGAGAGGAGAGUGGAAUUCCUGGUGUAGCGGUGAAAUGCGCAGAUAUCAGGAAGAACACCCGUGGCGAAGGCGGCUCUCUGGAACGCAACUGACGCUGAGACGCGAAAGCGUGGGAGCAAACAGG